UACGUAGGUGGCAAGCGUUGUCCGGAAUUAUUGGGCGUAAAGCGCGCGCAGGCGGUUCUUUAAGUCUGAUGUGAAAGCCCACGGCUCAACCGUGGAGGGUCAUUGGAAACUGGAGAACUUGAGUACAGAAGAGGAAAGCGGAAUUCCACGUGUAGCGGUGAAAUGCGUAGAGAUGUGGAGGAACACCAGUGGCGAAGGCGGCUUUCUGGUCUGUAACUGACGCUGAGGCGCGAAAGCGUGGGGAGCAAACAGG
rnacentral:ncRNA from 3 species